CUGUGAUGCUGCAUGGCUUGAGGACCCUCGAGGCCCCAGCCUUCAGCUGGCUUGGGGCUUGGGGUGGUCCCAUGGAGGGCGCUGGUCCCAGGACGCCCUGGCCUUGCUUACAGGGGCGAACCUCUUCCCGGCCGCUCUGGUGCACUUCGGAGCCGAGGAGCCGGCAGGUGUCUACCUGGAGCCUGGCCUGCUGGAGCAUGCCAUCUCCCCAUCUGCGGCCGACGUGCUGGUGGCCAGGUAAGUGCCGGUGGGUCUGGGGGCACCUCCCGUGGCGGCACUCACCACUCUGUGUCUUCGCCUCCCCACAGGUACAUGUCCAGGGCCGCCGGGUCCCCUUCCCCAUUGCCAGCCCCUGACCCUGCACCUAAGUCUGAGCCAGCUGCUGAGGAGGGGGCGCUGGUCCCCCCUGAGCCCAUCCCAGGGACGGCCCAGCCCGUGAAGAGGAGCCUGGGCAAGCCAGCAAGAGGUGAGAGCUGCCAGCCUGAGGUGCCCACUCCGCCAGCCACAGGACCACCUCC
rnacentral:sRNA from 1 species